AGUGAUCAUGCAAGGAAGGUUCCAUUGCUCCCAUUUUGAAGAUGGGCAAUGCCUGAGUUACAGGAGAUGUGGAAACUGAGAGAUCAAUUUGCCCAAAGCCACACAGCUAAGUGGCACUGUUAAGUGAUGGAGCCAAGAUUCUCAUGCAGAUAUCCAGACAGAGAAAAUGAGAUUGCCAGAGGAAAAGUGACUAGCCCAAUAACAUAGAGCUCAUUAGUGACAGAACUGAGAAUCUAACCCAUGUCUUUCUUACUGCAAAAUCUCACUACCAUCCACAAGGUGUUUCCUCCAGUGGCCUACUGCAGUGAGUGCAAGUCCAUCAAUAGUAACUUCCUUUGCUAUAGGUUUUGUGUUAAGCCAUCUGUCUUUUUUUUCUUUUAUUGAAAUAUAGUUGAUUUACAAUGUUGUGUUAGUUUCAGGUAUUUAAACCAUCUGUCUCCAU